AUGCGCAGUAGCCGGACUCGGCGGCUCUUCCGGUUAAAGGAUGACGUCAGGGACACGCGCAAGCAAGACGGUCUUUUCCGGUUCGGAGCGGCGAGGAGUGUGGCAGCUGAGACAUCGUGGCCCCGGAGAUCAGGCUCCUCAGGAGAUGUUGCUCCGUCAGAUGGAAGGUCUCUCUCUGGUUCUGGUUCAGCACUCAGGAGAUGUUUGCCAGUGAUGUGAUUCUGAAAGAGAAGUGUGCCAGCUCUUUUCUCCAUUCUUCUGCUCCUGACAAACUCUGACAACAGCAGCUGGUGACCGCAGGAGAGUUCACGCGCUGAAGUGAUGUGAUUCUGAAAGAGAAGUGUGCCAGCUCUUUUCUCCAUUCUUCUGCUCCUGACAAACUCUGACAACAGCAGCUGGUGACCGCAGGAGAGUUCACGCGCUGAAGGUACUGCUGCUGCUGUUCAUUAUUCAGAUCUAAAUUAUUCCUGCUUUUAUGAAAAUAACGUGUGAAGAGCGAGGCUAGAGUCACAUCCUGAUGCUGCUCGUGGUCCUGGUGUGCUAU
ensembl:lncRNA